rnacentral:tRNA from 1 species
UCGGGCGUGGCCAAGUGGUAAGGCAGUAGACUUUGGAUCUACCAUUCCCAGGUUCGAAUCCUGGCGCCCGAGCCA